rnacentral:rRNA from 1 species
AGAAUCAACGCUGGCGGCGUGCCUAACACAUGCAAGUCGAACGAGAAAGGGUAGCAAUACCUGAGUAAAGUGGCGCACGGGUGAGUAACACGUGACUAACCUACCCUGGAGUGGGGGAUAACUGAGGGAAACCUUAGCUAAUACCGCAUAACACCUACGGGUCAAAGGAGCAAUUCGCUUCAGGAGGGGGUCGCGGCCGAUUAGUUAGUUGGCGGGUAAUGGCCACCAAGACAGUGAUCGGUAU